rnacentral:rRNA from 1 species
AUUGAACGCUGGCGGCAGGCCUAACACAUGCAAGUCGAGCGGAGCGGCGGACGGGUGAGUAAUGCCUAGGAAUCUGCCUGGUAGUGGGGGAUAACGUCCGGAACCGGGCGCUAAUACCGCAUACUCUCAGAUGAGCCUAGGUCGGAUUAGCUAGUUGGUGGGGUAAAGGCCUACCAAGGCGACGAUCCGUAACUGGUCUGAGAGGAUGAUCAGUCACACUGGAACUGGGACACGGUCAAGACUCCUACGGGAGGCAGCAGUGGGGAAUAUUGGACAAGGGGCGAAAGCCUGAUCCAGCCAUGCCGCGUGUGUGAAGAAGGUCUUCGGAUUGUAAAGCACUUUAAGUCGGGAGGCGUUACCGACAGAAGAAGCACCGGCUAACUCCGUGCCAGCAGCCGCGGUAAUAC